rfam:Belliella pelovolcani strain DSM 46698 genome assembly, contig: Ga0111625_103
GAUUUAUAAAGAAGAGGUGAGAGAACAGGCUCCGUGACCCUCUGGCAACCAUCACAUCCCAGCUGAAAGGUGCCAAAACCUGCCCAAUGUGGGAACUAUAAAUU